rnacentral:lncRNA from 1 species
UCCCACCUCAAUGUCACUCGCCUACAGAUGCUAGCGAAUCUCCACAAGCUCCUUCGUCACCAAGAACUAUAGACGACUUGCGGGAAGCGUCUGUGCCACCUCAAAGCCACUCGCCAGGAACUAUCGACGACUUGCGAGAAGUGUCCGUGCCACCUCUCAGUCACUCGCCUACAGCUGCUAGAGAUUCUCCACAAGCUCCUUGGUCGCCAGGAACUAUAGACGACUUGCGGGAAGCGUCUGUGCCACCCCAAAGCCACUCGCCAGGAACUAUCGACGACUUGCGAGAAGUGUCCGUGCCACCUCUCAGUCACUCGCCUACAGCUGCUAGAGAUUCUCCACAAGCUCCUUGGUCGCCAGGAACUAUAGACGACUUGCGGGAAGCGUCUGUGCCACCUCAAAGCCACUCGCCAGGAACUAUCGACGACUUGCGAGAAGUGUCCGUGCCACCUCUCAGUUACUCGCCUACAGCUGCUAGAGAUUCUCCACAAGCUCCUUGGUCGCCAGGAACUAUAGACAACUUGCAAGAAGUGUCCGUGCCACCUCAAAGCCACUGGCCUACAGCUGCUAAAGAAUCUCCACGAGCUCCUUCGUCACCAGGAACUAUAGACGACGUGCGAGAAGUGUCCGUGCCACCUCGUAGCCCGUCCCCGACAAAGGAGUUCCCAGACGCAUCCUCGCCAGUUCAAGCUGCUCAAACUCAACCUCAGUCGCCUGUACGAACAGAAGUAUCCAUACCAUUACAGGGCCCGGAG